AUAGCUGCCACGCAAGAGUCCCUGGACAAGCACCUUGCUGAAGGCCUCUCUGAACAAUUAAGGGAAGUGGUCUUGUUUGAUUUGUGCCCUUUUCUUCUUCUCAGUUUUACCCAAAUAGAGGGAGACAACUUUGUGGAGGUUGUAGAGACCUGUAGACACUAGGAAUGGGCAAGCUCCAAAUCCCUGCCUUGCCUCGUUUAGAUCACGGUCUUUCUUCCUUGGUGGAAUGCAGUUGGCAUUGCUGAGCUGUGUGCAGAUGCUUGAAAGAUUUGGUUUAAAUACUUUCCUAAAGGAAGUGGACCAAUAAGCAUUGCAACUGCACAAAGUGAUAUGAAGUUGUACUUACAUGCUCAAGGGGUCUGUGAGCUUUACAGAGCACUCCAGGAAAAUGCGUUUUAGUGAAAUCAUACAUGGGGUGAGCUAUAUCAGGUUUUUAUUUGUCUCUUCCUGCUCAAGAGAAAAGAAAUAAGAGGACAUAUCCAUUCCUUAAAAAUGGAGGAGGAAAUUUAUUUAGAAAGAAACAGAGAAAAAAGAGAGAAGGACUAAUAGGUGACCUAUGUUGCCACCACCAGUCUGCUUCUCUGUGUUCCCACAUGUAAAAUGGGAAGAAAAACAAUGAGUAGAAAAUGAAAAUGGGAUGACAGAUAGGGUGGAGUAGGUGGAUAAUAAGGGGGAAAAAAGAUUAAAAGGGUCAUCAGUUCUCAUGCUUAUGGAUUCAGCUCAAAAUACUAAAGUGCCAGGAGAAAAUCUGUGGAGUCGCAUCAUUCAACUGCAUCCAACAAGAUUUCUAUUCCAUUUCCUAUUGACAUUGGGCAAGCAGAUCUUGCCCAAUAAUACCUGAUUUCAUACAACACUUCUCCCUAGGUCACGGAGGGCAUUGUAUGAGCAUUGCAUGAGUAUAAGAAAGCAUCUCUUUAAUAAGAAAUGACUGGUUGGAAGGGCCAAGUGAAUUCCCCACCCCACAGAGGUCUACAGUGCAGCAGUCACAAGGCAGCAAGUUAAACCGGACCUUCGGACAGUGUUGUGUUGAGGAUUUGCAGUUUAGGCUCCUUUUGGAAGGGUCUGUUCUGCCCUGGAAGGGUGUCAGGCUUCUCGCCUCGCUGUCACACUGUGGGAAUGUUGCUGAGGGGGUUCUGUGCCUCCCACCAUCUCUCCUGAGGACUGGGUCAAUCUUGCUCAAGGGAAGGUGGCUGCUGGCACUGGCCAGAGAGCAGAGAGCAGAGAGCAGAGCAACUUGCAAGUGACAAUGCAGACAGCCUGGGCCAGGACACUUGUGGGGCUCCCCCUUGCCUCCUGACACCUGCUUUGGCCAUCCCUGCUGAGAAGGGACUAAGAUGCCCCUAGAUGGGACAGAAUGAAGAGGCAAAGGACUGCUACACCAAGGAAUGCUGCAGACCACGAGCAAGGCUGCAUUGUGGACAUGCCCAUGGAGAGGUGUACUAUGGAUGCAAAGACCAUAUGUGGACAUACAUAGGUGUACUAUGAUGGAGCAAAGACCAAGUCUAACACAGUCAGCAGACCACUCAGCCAGCUGACACUGAUACUGCUAUUUUUGCCCUAGCUAUUCAAAUCUCAC
ensembl:lncRNA